rnacentral:rRNA from 2 species
GAGUGGAUGAUCCGCCACACUGGGACUGAGACACGGCCCAGACUCCUACGGGAGGCAGCAGUGGGGAAUUUUGGACAAUGGGCGUAAGCCUGAUCCAGCCAUGCCGCGUGUCUGAAGAAGGCCUUCGGGUUGUAAAGGACUUUUGUCCGGGAGCAAAUCCCAGUGGUUAAUACCUACUGGGGCUGAGAGUACCGGAAGAAUAAGCACCGGCUAACUACGUGCCAGCAGCCGCGGUAAUACGUAGGGUGCAAGCGUUAAUCGGAAUUACUGGGCGUAAAGCGUGCGCAGGCGGUUGUGCAAGUCUGAUGUGAAAGCCCCGGGCUUAACCUGGGAACGGCAUUGGAGACUGCACGA